UUACUAUAAUUUUAAACGCGGAUUAACGAUCGAAACUUUUACGAUUUGUUAAAUUACAUUUUUGGAUCUUAGUCAAGAAUGCGUGAAAAUUCAAGGUUAAAGUGAUAAAUACAUUUAAUACAAAUAAAUUUAAAAAAAUAAUAUUGAAUAAUAUAAAACACUUAUUUCUCACUUUUUUUUCUUAAUUCUAUUUUUUUUAUGUAUCUUAUUUUUUUCUUUUCUUUAUGUUUUUAUUUACAUUCAAUAAUUUUUAAAUUUUUUUCGAAUUUCUUAAAAUUCUUGAAAGAUUCUUGAAAGAUUUAAGAAUAAAUUUCUAGUUUUUAGUACUUUCUCUUAUUCACGUUACAUUUAUGAGCACAUGCUUCUGAGCUUAUCUAAAGUCUUAUCGCCAGAGUUACCAUAGUUGAACGACUGCACAAGAUAAAAAGCGGUUACAUUUCUGUACAGAGAACGUAUCUAAAGGUCGUAUGCAUGUUGCAAUCUCAGUAUAAAUAGUUUUUUUCAGGUAAUUUCAAGUAAUUUGUUAGUUUAAAAUUCUUGGAAAUCCUGUUUUUUUAAACAAAAAAAUAACCAUAUAGAAAGCAAGUAGAAAACAUGUAUAAUAUUUAACAUGUAUAGCAGCGAAAGAUAUAUUUAUACAGAUUUGUUUAUAUUUUAAUUUGUUCAUAAAAAUUGAGUUAUAAAAUUUAUUAGAGAUUUAAUUUAUAACCAAAUUUUAAUUAUGAUUUUAAAAAUGAUAUUUAAUUAAAAUGAUUUUCAUCGAAAUAGCCCUACAAUAGCAAUAUAUUUAACGAUAUAAAUAAAACAGCAAUUAAAUACUUUGGCAUAAAGUAAAGAAAGAUCAAUAAUUUUUUAAUUAGAUUUAAAUAUUUAAAAAAGAGAAAAUUUUUCUAUCGUAAAAUUUAUUAGUUACGUAACGAACACUAAGUUUCGCGGUAAAACGGCCAUUGUAGCAAUUCGCGUAAAGGCUGUUUCGCAAGUGUGAUUGAAUAUCGAUUAUCUAAGCGUCGUUGAAAUGCUUUCCCUAUGUAGAGUAAUUGAACCGUGAACAAUCGACUGUAUUUUAUGUUUUGAGUAAACGAUGCCACCACUGAUCCACAGCUUUGCAUAUUGCAAAUUGUUUCUAUUUCUUUUUUUUCUUCGCGAAACAACUAAAAGGGGCGCGAUACGAACGAGCCUUAUCAUGUAAAUUAUACGCGUUAAGUACACGGUGGAUAACGAAUAACAGCAAAGAAGCAGCUGAACUUUUUUUUGCGAAUUUGUUGAUAGUCAGAUCAAUAGUUCAGAUAUAACUUGUGGAAUUAUCUCAAGAGUCUAUCGUAAAUUGAUUUUUGCAUACAAAUUCUUUUUAUAUCGUGUAAUUAUAAGAAUCAUAUUUUUAUCCUUAUUUAAAAGUAUCGAAACGCGGUCAUUUACAUUUUAUGUCAAAGAGUAAACAAUAUUGAUAAAGAAUUAAAAAAAGUAAAUAGAAUGUUAAAAAUUGUAUAUGUAAUUUUUUGUUUUUAUAAAAAUUGUUCUGAUCGAUAAUGAUUGGCACAUUUCUAUUUUUUUAUUAAUAGGUAUAAAAAAACCAUAAAAUUACAUACCAAAGAUGUCAAUAAAUAAAUCGUGAUUUUUUCAUAAUUUUCGAAAAAGUUAUAAGAUAUUUAUAAAAUUUAAGAUAAAGUAAACUUAAGAAUAUCACGAUGUUAAUAAUACGGAUAAGAUACAUCGAUCAAUCAUAUUCACCCUUGGUCAAACAACUUCCAUAAUUCUCCUUUCAUUGACCGUAAUCCAUGUUGACAUAAAUUUUUUUCCGAGUCCUUCCAAGUGACGAAAGAUUGCACACAGGAUUAAGAUGACAGAAUAAUAAUCGACGUAAAUGAAGAUUCACGCGGCGCACGUGACUUUCCCAGGGAGAGAGAAACAGAAAGUCCGUGAAAUUGCAAUGGUUAUGUCGCGCGCGCAUACAAGCGCGCGAUGCGCCGUAAAUUCCGCACAACGUGUCUGCCGGCUUGAAAGCCGAUCCAGUUCGCAACGAGCGACCGCGCUGGUGUCGUCCACAACACGAGCGAAAUUUUCGCCCUCCCCCCCGACUUUGACAUUUUUGCCUCGAACGGAUCUAAAUCAGAAUCUGAAAUCAAUCCCGAAGGAAAAUUUUCGUAUUAUUUUUGAAUAAUAUUGAAAUAAUAAUUGAUGUUCAAUCGAUAAGUUCAAUUUUUGAUCGAGACGAGAUAAAUAUCUCGUUUCGUUAAUCGGCGAACGAAAAGACGAUUCGUGCGGUCGAAAAUGUGACGAUGAACAAUACCAGUGAUUUAGGUCAGUGUAGUUCAAGGUGAAAUUGAGUCUAGCCAAGUGUGAGAACCAGUUUUCCCGAGUUUCCCCUCUGUUACGUCGAAACUUCGUAGAUAGGUCGAUAGAUGGUAGUCGGUAAUUCGACACAUAACGGCUGCGACGAACUUGACAGAAACUUGACGAAAUAUAAACGUGAUUUUAAGAUCGAAGAUUCUUGCAUUUUGAUAUCAUCGAAGUCGUUUUGAAGUCGUUAGAUUUUCAUCAUAGACAGAAAGUACAAUCAUUUUGAGCUGAUAAAACAUUGUCAAUCAAACGAUGAUACGCUAGGUCAGUGUUGAAAUUGAAUUCGUGCAGGAUCAAAGACCGUUGGGAAUGCGUUUCCCUCCAGACAGAACACCGCCACGAACACUAAUAUGGGCUUCGUUACCGAUGGACAACCACGACAAACACUUGUUGCUAGAGACGUGUGUCGAACGAAUGACUGCUGCCGUUGCUCUCCAACAUUGUUUUCUGGUGGAAUUGUUGCGCUCGUGAGACAGAAUCGACUGUUCUACUUGUAAAAUAUCGAAAUUUAUUUUGGAUACGUUGUUCCCACGCGAAUGAAUUCAGUUUUUUAAAUCAAUGUUCUGAAUGAGAAUCAUCCGUGUAUUAUAAAAUUUGUAAAACCUUUUUUUACGAAAAAUUUCAUUUAUAGGUUAUAAGUGAAUUAAAAUUUUUUUAUUAUUAUUGUGAUGUGAAACAAUCGUGUAAUAUGAAGUUUCAUAAAUAAGGUUAUGGUGACGUAUCAAUCAUUAGGAGCAUUCUUCGAAGAGAAGCCAAUAUAAUCGUAAAAUGGAACUGCAUACUGCUACUUCUUAUACGUUUUAUUAACUCUUAUAUCUUCGUACAACUUGAAAGGUUCACGAUAAUUGCCUAAGUAUUUCCCUAACAACAACAACAACAACAACAACAACAACAAUCUUUUCCAUCGUCUUUUAUGUUUACAUACCCAAGGAUCACACAAUUCAAUGAAUCCAUUAUUCGAGUCGCCAUUUCUGUUGACCUGAUAUUUGAGACGGCGUCGAAUUUCAAGGUCAUUACGACAAUCACACUAACGUUAUUCUCUAUCGAAAUUUCAUGCCUCGCCGCAUGAUUCCAGAGAAAGAUGUUGAAACGGUUGCUGAUUAUAAGUAGACAUGAUACCAGAUGAAGCCUUGAAUCAUAUGGUGAGGAAAACUGUAGGGGUCACUACAGGAAAUUGAUUUGUUUUGCUACACACCCUCGCGCGAUUCGACUUUAUCCCUUAACACGGUCAUUCACUGACGUAUAUUACCGAUCAAAGUUUGUGGAUUCACUUACAUAUUUUAUGGAAUUCGUGUUACAUACGUAAUAUUGAACAAAUAGUUUUUUUUUGAAAAUUUAUCAUUUAAAAUAAAAAUGUAUAUUGUAAUAAUAAUUAAAUUGAGCAAAUUAAAAUUUUGAUAGUUCGAAAACGGUGUUCAUAAUCGAAGAAAAAUUUAUUUUGUUUUUAGAAAAUUUUACAAAUCAAAAAGAAUCUUAUUGGGCAGUGAAAUAAUGAAAAUAAUUAAUAGCCAGGACUUGCAAAUGCAAUUAUAAAAACCAAACGAUAAGUGAGAAAGAAAUAUAUGUUAUUUAUUGUUAUUAAUGAAAUAUAAAUUAUUAUUAAAAUUUGAUCUAUCAAUAAUCUAAAGUAAAAAUUCGAUGAAAUAAAGUUAACUUCUUAAAAAUUUCACUUUCUCAAAUAAUUUCAAGAAUAUAAUAAGAUAAUAUUUAUUUUUGAACGGCACGUACUUAUUUUUGAACGGCAUAUAAUGGGUAUAGUAAAUAUACUUAAUCGCUAAUCUACAUUAAUUUGAUACAAUUUAACAUAUUAUUUACCGUCAGCCGAUUAAUAUGUUUUAUAUCGCCCGUGUUUAUAGACCGAUAACCGAUAAUAAAUAAAUAGUCAUUCUGUUGAUUUUCGUUAUCGAUUGAUAGAUUAUUAAUUUUCCUGAAUUUGUUAGAGAUGAUAAAAAAUUAUUAAUAACCAGAAAAAUUAUCAAACAUAUUUUUAAGUACUUGUAUUAUUGAUAAUAAUAUUUUAUUUGUUUUUUUUUUAUAGUUUUAUAUUGAUUACAACUCUCAAAAACAAAAAUGAAAUAUUUUUGAAUCAUUUGUCAGAAUAAAUUUUAGUUGUUCAUUGGAUAAUGAUGAUAAAUAAUGAGAUAUUGAUACCGCAUACAUGUACAUGUGAGACAGACUCGUUCGAUCCGUGCCAGGAAUAAUAAUAUCAUAGACAGCUUUACAAAAAAGUACACGUAACAAGUACAAUAAACGAACGCACGAUCGACAUGCUUAUUUCAUCAAAGAGUUUUUCCGCGAUAAUUUUCCAAAAUAUCCUGAAUGAUUCGAUAUUUUAUCUUUGACGGAGGAAAAAUAAUCGUCGUUAUUCCUGGAAUUGUAUUUUCUUGAGAAAUAAUUAAAAUUAAGAAAAACUUGAAAAAAAUAUAGAAAAAUAAAACUUGGUAAAUUUACAAAAAUAAAUUUAUUUAUUUGAUAUUUUUCUUGAAGAAAAAUAAUUGAAAUUAGAAAUAGUUUUAUUAGUUUUAUCUAAUGAAAUUUAUUACAAAUUUACAUUAUAUUACCUAUGCGAAUGAUAAAUAUGUUCUAAUGUAAGAGUAGAAUUCAAUUUUUGAAUUAUUCAAUCUGGAAAAUGAUAAAGAUUUAGUCACAUUCGUGUCAUUUUUCUCUUUAAGGAAGUUAGAGAAGUUGUAUGAACAAAUGAAUAAAUAUUGAUACAAA